GAUGAACGCUAGCUACAGGCUUAACACAUGCAAGUCGAGGGGCAGCGGGAUUGAAGCUUGCUUCAAUCGCCGGCGACCGGCGCACGGGUGAGUAACGCGUAUCCAACCUUCCGUACACUCAGGGAUAGCCUUUCGAAAGAAAGAUUAAUACCUGAUGGUAUGAUGAGAUUGCAUGAUAGCAUCAUUAAAGAUUUAUCGGUGUACGAUGGGGAUGCGUUCCAUUAGGUAGUAGGCGGGGUAACGGCCCACCUAGCCAACGAUGGAUAGGGGUUCUGAGAGGAAGGUCCCCCACAUUGGAACUGAGACACGGUCCAAACUCCUACGGGAGGCAGCAGUGAGGAAUAUUGGUCAAUGGACGAGAGUCUGAACCAGCCAAGUAGCGUGAAGGAUGACUGCCCUAUGGGUUGUAAACUUCUUUUAUAAAGGAUAAAGUCGGGUAUGGAUACCCGUUUGCAUGUACUUUAUGAAUAAGGAUCGGCUAACUCCGUGCCAGCAGCCG
rnacentral:rRNA from 1 species